rnacentral:rRNA from 1 species
UACGAAGGGGGGCUAGCGUUGUUCGGAAUUACUGGGCGUAAAGCGCACGUAGGCGGAUAUUUAAGUCAGGGGUGAAAUCCCGGGGCUCAACCCCGGAACUGCCUUUGAUACUGGGUAUCUCGAGUCCGAGAGAGGUGAGUGGAAUUCCGAGUGUAGAGGUGAAAUUCGUAGAUAUUCGGAGGAACACCAGUGGCGAAGGCGGCUCACUGGCUCGGUACUGACGCUGAGGAGCGAAAGCGUGGGGGAGCGAACAGG